UACGAAGGGGGCUAGCGUUGCUCGGAAUUACUGGGCGUAAAGCGUGCGUAGGUGGUCUGUUAAGUCUGAUGUGAAAGCCCUGGGCUCAACCUGGGAAUUGCAUUGGAUACUGGCAGGCUAGAGUGCGGUAGAGGAUGGCGGAAUUCCCGGUGUAGCGGUGAAAUGCGCAGAGAUCGGGAGGAACACCCGUAGCGAAGGCGGCACUCUGGGCCGGUACUGACGCUGAGGAGCGAAAGCGUGGGGAGCAAACAGG
rnacentral:rRNA from 1 species